rnacentral:rRNA from 1 species
AGAACGAACGCUGGCGGCGUGCUUAACACAUGCAAGUCGAACGCGAAAGGGACUUCGGUCCUGAGUAAAGUGGCGCACGGGUGAGUAACGCGUAGAUAACCUGUCUUCAUGUCUGGAAUAAUACGCCGAAAGGGGUACUAAUACCGGAUAUUCUUGCUUUUCAUAAGUUAUGCAAGCAAAGGUGGCCUCUGCAUAUGCUACUGCAUGAAGAGGGGUCUGCGUACCAUUAGCUAGUAGGUGGGGUAAUGGCCUACCUAGGCGACGAUGGUUAGCGGGUCUGAGAGGAUGAUCCGCCACACUGGCACUGGAACACGGGCCAGACUCCUACGGGAGGCAGCAGUGAGGAAUAUUGCGCAAUGGGGGAAACCCUGACGCAGCGACGCCGCGUGAGUUGAGGAAGGCCUUCGGGUCGUAAAGCUCUGUCAAGAGGAAAGAAGUGUACAAUGGCUAAUACCUGUUGUAUUUGACGGUACCUCUAAAGGAAGCACCGGCUAACUCCGUGCCAGCCGCGGC